rnacentral:rRNA from 1 species
UACGGAGGGUGCAAGCGUUAUCCGGAUUUACUGGGUUUAAAGGGUGCGUAGGUGGAUUUGUAAGUCAGUGGUGAAAUCUCCGAGCUUAACUCGGAAACUGCCAUUGAUACUAUAGAUCUUGAAUUAUCUGGAGGUAAGCAGAAUAUGUCAUGUAGCGGUGAAAUGCUUAGAUAUGACAUAGAACACCGAUUGCGAAGGCAGCUUACUACGGAACGAUUGACACUGAGGCACGAAAGCGUGGGGAACGAACAGG